rnacentral:rRNA from 1 species
UACGUAGGUGGCGAGCGUUGUCCGGAAUUACUGGGUGUAAAGGGCGUGUAGGCGGGAAUGUAAGUCAGAUGUGAAAUACCGAGGCUUAACCUCGGGGCUGCAUCUGAAACUGCGUUUCUUGAGUAUCGGAGAGGAAAGUGGAAUUCCCAGUGUAGCGGUGAAAUGCGUAGAUAUUGGGAGGAACACCAGUGGCGAAGGCGACUUUCUGGACGAUAACUGACGCUGAGGCGCGAAAGCGUGGGGAGCAAACAGG